rnacentral:rRNA from 1 species
CUAAACUACGCUGUCCUCACUCUCAUACCUAAAGUUAAAGGGGCUGACAAGAUUUCUCAGUUCAGACCUAUAGCCCUCAUCAAUAACUUUGCUAAAUUUCUAGCAAAAGGUUUUGCUACUAGGUUAUCCCCCAUCGCUCACCGUACCCUCAAUCCUUUCCAGUUGGCCUUUGUUAAAGGCAGGUUCAUCCUGGACGGCAUCCUAUGUCUGCAUGAGAUCGUCCAUGACCUGCGUGUUUGUGGUACUAGAGCGGUGGUCCUUAAGCUUGAUUUCGAGAAAGCUUAUGAUUCGGUCAGUUGGAACUUUCUUCGUCAGGUGUUACUGGCCAAGGGCUUUGAUGGGGUUGUGGUUCACAGACUUAUGCAGUUGGUCACAGGUGGCCACACUGCGGUUUUGGUUAACAUGAAUAUCAGUAAUUUUUUCGCAAACGGCAGGGGCCUGAGGCAUGGUGACCCAGCUUCCCCCCUUCUCUUUAACUUCGUGGCUGACUCUCUCUUCCACAUCCUGACUCGGGCUGCAGCUGCUGGUCAUAUCACCCCUGUUAGCUCCCAUCUUGCUCCUAAUGGCAUAUCCCACCUCCAAUACGCGGAUGAUACCAUCAUUAUGGUUGAACUUAACGAUGAAAGUGUGGCUCACUUGAAGUUCCUUCUCCUUUGCUUCGAAGCACUUUCUGGUCUCAAAAUUAAUUUUGCCAAGGGUGAAGUUAUUGUUACUGGGGUGUCGGACGCUGAGUCCCUUAGAGUUGCUCAUUUACUAAACUAUUCCUUGGGCUCUUUCCCUUUCAAAUAA